GACGUAGGGCGCAAGCGUUGUCCGGAUUUAUUGGGCGUAAAGAGCUCGUAGGCGGCUUGUUACGUCGACUGUGAAAACCCGUGGCUCAACCAUGCGGUCUGCAGUCGAUACGGGCAGGCUAGAAUUCGGUAGGGGAGACUGGAAUUCCUGGUGUAGCGGUGAAAUGCGCAGAUAUCAGGAGGAACACCGGUGGCGAAGGCGG
rnacentral:rRNA from 1 species